CUUUAGUUUAGUUUGGAACACAUGCAGUCACGUCAGGCAUAUAUAUAUAUAAUCAUUAAAAAGGCAUAUAUAUAUAUACACACACACUGUGCAUGUUACUGAUACACUUCAAAUUUACUAAUUAAUUAAAACAAAUUAAUCAUGACGAUGAUUUGAUAUGUACAGAUUGAUAUAUAUUCUCCAAUACAUUCAUGCACAGAAUAUUAAUUUCCUAGAACAAAUCUUGGCUUAUAUAUGCUCCAUCAACUUUUCUUUUUAAGUUGCAACUAUUUAUUUUAUUUGUUCUUCAACCUGCAAAUUAUGAUCCCUAUUAAUUCCCUAAAAUGUUCUAUAUAUAUCUCUGUGGUCAUCAAAUGAAUUACUAAAGCUGGGGAUUCUGCGGGGUUCAGGUGUUCAAUCUUUGCCAGCUAAUUUCUUCUGAAUAAAUUGUAAAUGAGACAAGUCUUUUCUUCAUGCUCUUUACCUCCGCCCUGUCCCCAAAAGAAAAAGACCCAAAAAUACAUGCAAGGAUGGCAGAUAUCUCUGUUCUGCUCACUAAUUAAGCUUAUGCUUGGCCAGGCGGUCUUCCGGAAUUUCCAGCUCUCCUGUUUUGAAUUCGGAAAAUUAAAUAUUAAUUCAUGCAUGGUUUUAGGUGAGAUAAUAUAAUUAUUGGUGAUGGGAUAAUACUAAUUGAUUGAUCAGAUUGCUAUAUCUGGAAAACUGCAGUAUUAGUUUUGUAAUUACUGAGGUGCUUAUUAAUUUGUAAUUAUAUAUAAAUCCAAUAAAUAAGAAAAAGGAAGGGACCAUCAAAUGUGAAGAACAAAUUAUAAUCAUGUUUUUAAUUACUCUAAUAA
rnacentral:lncRNA from 1 species